rnacentral:misc_RNA from 1 species
UUAUGAAGUUCAUUUGCAUGACUUUUUGCACAAAAUGAUAUAAUAAUUGUAAGUCAGACGAUUAUAUCUGGAAGACACAUCUGUUCUUUAAUUCUUGAAUAAUCAAAAGUUCUGCACAUACAAAGAAGUCAUGUGGCCUGAAUGAUUUUCUCAGAGUUUCCGUUCAUCCACUUCCUCCGCUAACCUUAAGGUGGGUAAAGAUCCAGUACAGCUGGUUGAAGCUAAAUAUCCAGCUUUGCUGUUUAAGCAGCAGCUUACAGCAUAUGUGGAAACAAUAUAUGGAAUCAUUCGAGACAAUUUAAAGAAGGACUUGUCACCACUGCUUUCUUCCUGUACCCAGGUAAACCGACUCUUCUCUGUUAAUGGAUCCUUCUAAAGAUUAUUUUGUGAUUUUAAACCUGCUGGGCUUCAUAGAUAGGUGAUCCACUAUAUAUUCUUCCAAGAUCAUGAUUUUCUGCAUGAUCAAUGAAAAGUAAACUUUACUCUAAGCAUUUUAGCGUUCUUCUUUCUUCAUUGAUAAAGUCUUGUUCUUUUAUAAAGAGGAGAGGGGAUUUCAUUGCUCCCUUCCUCCUGGAAUUUCUCUUGUAACUAGACCUAUAAAGCUUGUCUUUAGCAUUGAGUGUAUUUUGACGGCUAAUCCAUAUUAAGCCGGUCUUUAAUGAUGCCUAUGAGAUUUGCUGGACAGGCGUCUAACUGGUAUUUGGACUCGUAUCAUUUCCUUUGCUUGAAAGUGAUCCCUGCUUUACCAUGAAAUGUAACAAUGUAUGCAGUAUUGUAGGAGAAAGUGAAGUGGCAAAUUGUCAUUCUCAACUAUGAUGCAAGGAAAUGGGAAUGGGCGGCGUUUCCCCGUGUCGGAAAUGUUUCCGACACAGAAAUGGGAUGAAACGCCGGGGAGGCAUUUCUGGGCUGUUUCGGUAAUUUCUGGAAAUGGAAAACACGUUUUCGGACUCGGACAUACGUGUCUUGCAAAAAUGUUAGGUUAGACACAGACUCUCGACGCUGCAUUUGUAGAGAAGAAAAAGAAGGACAGGACUUACCUGACGGUGAUGGAUAGCGGCAACGAUGGCGAGGCAUUGGAGUGUUUGGUCCGG